CUAUUACAGCCUAUCCAGAAACGUCACUUGUCAAAGGCACCACUACGCCGUUUCAGCAAGCUUGUACCGCUAUAUGUCUGAGAGGCGUAACCGACGAUUUUAUGUUCUGACUGGAAAUUGGAUAAUAUCAAGAAAUUAUCGUUGCUUUUCCUUCUUUAUGGCGUCACGAGAUAGAAGAACACUUACUGUGAGCGUAUCAUCGUAUGAUGGGAGCUACAAAAACUUGACCCAUGUUAUAUCGCAAUACACAAACACGUGGGAAUUAAAAACAGUUGGUCUUCCGUUAGAUAUAAUCGAUCUUUUCAGAGUUGAAUUCAUUAUGCCUGCUUUUCUUCAAAUUGCUAUCGAUGAAAUCCAGUUCAGUCAUAUGUCCUGCGAAUCAGAUGUAGACGAAUGUUCUAAUUCCAGUCUCAAUGCAUGCGCGCAUAAGUGUGUUAAUUCGUUUGGAG